UCGGAAGCUGCGAUCUCCAGAAGGAGCAC
rnacentral:sRNA from 1 species